UACUAGAGCCUUAGGUCAUACAUCAAAGCCAUUCUAGAACCUUAGGUCAUACAUCAAAGCCAUUUUAGAACCUUAGGUCAUACAUCAGAGACGUUCUAGAGCCUUAGGUCAUACAUCAGAGCCGUUCUAGAACCUUAGGUCAUACAUCAGAGACGUUCUAGAACCUUAGGUCAUACAUCAGAGACGUUCUAGAACCUUAGGUCAUACAUCAGAGAAGUUCUAGAACCUUAGUCCCUCCCCCCACACAGCAGCAUAGCAACUGUUGCUAGGAACAACAGCCAUUUUUCUUUUGUCAUGCAUGUGAGGUUUCAAAAUGGCUGUUACACAAAUACAUUGUGAAUUUCCACGUUUAAUGUAAUAAAGAGGAAAAAUCUUCAACCGAAUAGCCAUAAAAAUUUUGACUUUUAACAGAAUUAGUUUUAAUGCAUAAAAAUACUUGUGUGUUGUGUCUUGCACUAUGUGUCAAAUAAAACACGGGAAUUUCUCA